UAUUGGACAAUGGGCGCAAGCCUGAUCCAGCCAUGCCGCGUGAGUGAAGAAGGCCCUCGGGUUGUAAAGCUCUUUUGUCCGGAAAGAAAAGCUUUCGGUUAAUACCCGGAAGUCAUGACGGUACCGGAAGAAUAAGCACCGGCUAACUUCGUGCCAGCAGCCGCGGUAAUACGAAGGGUGCAAGCGUUACUCGGAAUUAUUGGGCGUAAAGCGCGCGUAGGCGGCCCGUUAAGUCUCAAGGUGAAACGCCGGGGCUCAACCCCGAAGCGAGCCGGGGAUACUGGGGGGCUGGAGACAGGCAGAGGCCAGCGGAAUUCCGGGUGUAGCGGUGGAAUGCGUAGAGAUCCGGAAGAACACCGGAGGCGAAGGCGGCUGGCUGGGCCUGAUCUGACGCUGAGGUGCGAAAGCGUGGGGAGCGAACA
rnacentral:rRNA from 1 species